rnacentral:tRNA from 2 species
UGUGGUACAGCUCAAUGGCAGAGCACUUACCCAGCAUGCAGGAAGCCUUGGGUUCAAUCCCUAGUGCCACUA